CCUACGGGUGGCAGCAGUGAGGAAUAUUGGUCAAUGGACGAGAGUCUGAACCAGCCAAGUAGCGUGAAGGAUGACUGCCCUAUGGGUUGUAAACUUCUUUUGUAAGGGAAUAAAACGCGUCACGUGUGCCUUUUUGCAUGUACUUUAUGAAUAAGGAUCGGCUAACUCCGUGCCAGCAGCCGCGGUAAUACGGAGGAUCCGAGCGUUAUCCGGAUUUAUUGGGUUUAAAGGGAGCGUAGAUGGGUUGUUAAGUCAGUUGUGAAAGUUUGCGGCUCAACCUUAAAAUUGCAAUUGAUACUGGCAGUCGUGAGUACAGUUGAGGUAAGCGGAAUUCGUGGUGUAGCGGUGAAAUGCUUAGAUAUCACGAAGAACCCCGAUUGCGAAGGCAGCUUACUAAACUGUGACUGACAUUGAUGCUCGAAAGUGUGGGUAUCAAACAGGAUUAGAUACCCUUGUAGUC
rnacentral:rRNA from 1 species